AUUGAACGCUGGCGGCAGGCCUAACACAUGCAAGUCGAACGAGUGGCGGAAGGGUGAGUAAUGUCGGGGAAACUGCCUGAUGGAGGGGGAUAAGUACUGGAAACGGUAGCUAAUACCGCAUACCAUCAGAUGUGCCCAGGUGGGAUUAGCUUGUUGGGGGGGUAACGGCUCAACACGGCGACGAUCCCUAACUGGUCUGAGAGGAUGACCUGCCACCAUGGAACUGAGACACGUGCCAGACUCCUACGGGAGGCAGCAGUGGGGAAUAUUGCACAAGGGGCGCAAGCCUGAUGCAGCCAUGCCGCGUGUAUGAAGAAGGCCUUCGGGUUGUAAAGUACUUUCAGCGGGGAGGCGUUACCCGCAGAAGAAGCACCGGCUAACUCCGUGCCAGCAGCCGCGGUAAUUC
rnacentral:rRNA from 1 species